rnacentral:rRNA from 1 species
CUGGGUGACGAGCGGCGGACGGGUGAGUAAUGUCUGGGAAACUGCCUGAUGGAGGGGGAUAACUACUGGAAACGGUAGCUAAUACCGCAUAACGUCUUCGGACCAAAGAGGGGGACCUUCGGGCCUCUUGCCAUCAGAUGUGCCCAGAUGGGAUUAGCUAGUAGGUGAGGUAAUGGCUCACCUAGGCGACGAUCCCUAGCUGGUCUGAGAGGAUGACCAGCCACACUGGAACUGAGACACGGUCCAGACUCCUACGGGAGGCAGCAGUGGGGAAUAUUGCACAAUGGGCGCAAGCCUGAUGCAGCCAUGCCGCGUGUAUGAAGAAGGCCUUCGGGUUGUAAAGUACUUUCAGCGAGGAGGAAGGCAUUGUGGUUAAUAACCGCAGUGAUUGACGUUACUCGCAGAAGAAGCACCGGCUAACUCCGUGCCAGCAGCCGCGGUAAUACGGAGGGUGCAAGCGUUAAUCGGAAUUACUGGGCGUAAAGCGCACGCAGGCGGUCUGUCAAGUCGGAUGUGAAAUCCCCGGGCUCAACCUGGGAACUGCAUUCGAAACUGGCAGGCUAGAGUCUUGUAGAGGGGGGUAGAAUUCCAGGUGUAGCGGUGAAAUGCGUAGAGAUCUGGAGGAAUACCGGUGGCGAAGGCGGCCCCCUGGACAAAGACUACG